rnacentral:rRNA from 1 species
ACACAUGCAGUCGCACGAAGGCCCGAUUUCGGUUGGGUCCUUAGUGGCGCACGGGUGCGUAACGCGUGGGAAUCUGCCCCUCGGUUCGGAAUAACAGUUAGAAAUGACUGCUAAUACCGGAUGAUGACGUAAGUCCAAAGAUUUAUCGCCGAGGGAUGAGCCCGCGUAGGAUUAGCUAGUUGGUGUGGUAAGAGCGCACCAAGGCGACGAUCCUUAGCUGGUCUGAGAGGAUGAUCAGCCACACUGGGACUGAGACACGGCCCAGACUCCUACGGGAGGCAGCAGUGGGGAAUAUUGGACAAUGGGCGAGAGCCUGAUCCAGCAAUGCCGCGUGAGUGAUGAAGGCCUUAGGGUUGUAAAGCUCUUUUACCCGGGAUGAUAAUGACCGUACCGGGAGAAUAAGCUCCGGC